rnacentral:rRNA from 1 species
AUUGAACGCUGGCGGCAGGCCUAACACAUGCAAGUCGAACGAGUGGCGGACGGGUGAGUAAUGUCUGGGAAACUGCCCGAUGGAGGGGGAUAACUACUGGAAACGGUAGCUAAUACCGCAUACCAUCGGAUGUGCCCAGCUGGGAUUAGCUAGUAGGGGGGGUAAAGGCUCACCUAGGCGACGAUCCCUAGCUGGUCUGAGAGGAUGACCAUCCAAACUGGAACUGAGCCACGGUCCAGACGCAUACGUGAGGCAGCGUUGGGGAAUAUUGCACAAUGGGCGCAAGCCUGAUGCAGCCAUGCCGCGUGUAUGAAGAAGGCCUUCGGGUUGUAAAGUACUUUCAGCGAGGAGGCGUUACUCGCAGAAGAAGCACCGGCUAACUCCGUGCCAGCAGCCGCGGUAAUAC